UUAAGGUGAAACCGCGAAAGGCUCAUUAAAUCAGUUAUGGUUCCUUAGAUCGUACCCACAAUUACUUGGAUAACUGUGGUAAUUCUAGAGCUAAUACAUGCAAACAGAGCUCCGACCGGAGACGGAAGGAGUGCUUUUAUUAGAUCAAAACCAAUCGGUGGCGGGUUCGCCCGUUAUCGUACAACUUGGUGACUCUGAAUAACUUUACGCUGAUCGCACGGUCAUCGCACCGGCGACGCGUCUUUCAAAUGUCUGCCUUAUCAACUGUCGAUGGUAGGUUCUGCGCCUACCAUGGUUGUAACGGGUAACGGGGAAUCAGGGUUCGAUUCCGGAGAGGGAGCCUGAGAAACGGCUACCACAUCCAAGGAAGGCAGCAGGCGCGCAAAUUACCCACUCCCGGCACGGGGAGGUAGUGACGAAAAAUAACGAUACGGGACUCAUCCGAGGCCCCGUAAUCGGAAUGAGUACACUCUAAACCCUUUAACGAGGAUCAAUUGGAGGGCAAGUCUGGUGCC
rnacentral:rRNA from 3 species